rnacentral:other from 1 species
AAAUUCCUGAGAUGUUCGAUAACUCCUGCUAUUUUGAACCUACAUUUUUGAAUAAGGGAUUCCUAUAUUGCUUACAUGAUGUCAGGCCUCUAUAAGUGGAAGGCAGAUUGGAAGUUGCGGUUGCCCACCUAGCGCGGCUAGGACUCAAAACCAGGAACCGGCAUUUUGGGAGAUAU